rnacentral:rRNA from 1 species
AUUGAACGCUGGCGGCAUGCCUUACACAUGCAAGUCGAACGGUAACAGGUUAAGCUGACGAGUGGCGAACGGGUGAGUAAUGUAUCGGAACGCGCCCAGUCGUGGGGGAUAACUGCUCGAAAGAGCAGCUAAUACCGCAUACGGCCUGAGGGUGAAAGCGGGGGAUCGCAAGACCUCGCGCGAUUGGAGCGGCCGAUAGCAGAUUAGGUAGUUGGUGAGGUAAAGGCUCACCAAGCCGACGAUCUGUAGCUGGUCUGAGAGGAAGACCAGCCACACUGGGACUGAGACACGGCCCAGACUCCUACGGGAGGCAGCAGUGGGGAAUUUUGGACAAUGGGCGCAAGCCUGAUCCAGCCAUGCCGCGUGCGGGAAGAAGGCCUUCGGGUUGUAAACCGCUUUUGUCAGGGAAGAAAAGGUUCUGGCUAAUACCUGGGACUCAUGACGGUACCUGAGGAAUAAGCACCGGCUAACUACGUGCCAGCCGCCGCCGUAAGAC